UAGGAAGUUGUGUGUUUGUCACCCAGCAGCAGGUGACACUGCUCAGGACAGCAUUGUACACAAGGCUAAGAUCCUCCCGUGGACUCCACACUGAAGUCGGCUUCUCCUCACUGUCCACAUCUGAUCGCGCCCCCAAACUCUGCGUCCUUUCCACUGUCUCUCCCCGUCCUCCAGCUUUUCCUGCUCUACCACCUCGGCAAUUACCUUCUCAAGUCAGCACUGUGUUCUCCCCCCCAGUACAAACAGAUCAGAGAUGCAGCAGCCACAGGAAUACCUGCCACUUCAACAAGGCCCUCCUUCUAUGAAACACAGGGCAACAGCCUCAGGAAGACCCCGGAUGUUCCGACAGGGUCCUCUUCAGACAUGACCUGC